AGCUCCAAUAGCGUAUAUUAAAGUUGCUGCAGUUAAAAAGCUCGUAGUUGGAUCUCGGGGUACCUGGUCUAGCCGGUAUAGCUCACGCUAAAACUGGUCUGACCCCCCAACGUGAGGUAUUCGUCUCCGGGUGCACUUCAUUGGGUGCUCGUGAGGGGCCUCGUAGUUACUGUGAAAAAAUUAGAGUGUUCAAAGCAGGCUCAUAUGUUCGGAUAGUCGUGCAUGGAAUAACUGAAUACGUGACUGGCGCUUUUCAGUUGGUCUCGGCGACUGGUCAAAUGAUUAAGAGGGACUGCCAGACCAACAAAAGCGAAAGCAUUUGCCAAGAAUGUCUUCA
rnacentral:rRNA from 1 species